rnacentral:rRNA from 1 species
UACGUAGGGCGCAAGCGUUGUCCGGAAUUAUUGGGCGUAAAGAGCUCGUAGGCGGUUUGUUACGUCCGCUGUGAAAACCCAGGGCUUAACCCUGGGCUUGCAGUGGAUACGGGCAGACUAGAGGUAGGUAGGGGAGAAUGGAAUUCCCGGUGUAGCAGUGUAAUGCGUAGAGAUCGGGAGGAACACCGGUGGCGAAGGCGGCCUUCUGGACCAGUACUGACGCUCAUGCACGAAAGCGUGGGGAGCAAACAGG